CCAGACCAUUCAGCCAGUCCAGUCACUCAGCCCUAUCCAGACCAUUCACACAGUCCAGUCACUCAGCCCUAUCCAGACCAUUCAGCCAGUCCAGUCACUCAGCCCUAUCCAGACCAUUCACCCAGUCCAGUCACUCAGCCCUAUCCAGACCAUUCACCCAGUCCAGUCACUCAGCCCUAUCCAGACCAUUCAGCCAGUCCAGUCACUCAGCCCUAUCCAGACCAGUCACCCAGUCCAGUCACUCAGCCCUAUCCAGACCAUUCACCCAGUCCAGUCACUCAGCCCUAUCCAGACCAUUCAGCCAGUCCAGUCACUCAGCCCUAUCCAGACCAGUCACCCAGUCCAGUCACUCAGCCUUAUCCAGACCAUUCACCCAGUCCAGUCACUCAGCCCUAUCCAGACCAUUCACCCAGUCCAGUCACUCAGCCCUAUCCAGACCAUUCAGCCAGUCCAGUCACUCAGCCCUAUCCAGACCAGUCACCCAGUCCAGUCACUCAGCCCUAUCCAGACCAUUUACCCAGUCCAGUCACUCAGCCCUAUCCAGACCAGUCACCCAGUCCAGUCACUCAGCCCUAUCCAGACCAUUC